rnacentral:lncRNA from 1 species
UUUUUUAUCGCUAAAAACAAAUAUAUAAAGUUAAUGUUAAUUUAUUUAUUUCCAUUUACUAUUAGUAAAAACAUCGAUAAUUUUACAUUUUUAACCUUUUUUUUUGUUUUUUUUAUUGUUACUGAAUUUUUUUACAAAUUAAAUACUUUUAAUUAAUUAAAAAAAAAAAAAAAAAAAAAAAAAACAAGAAAGAAAAAAAAAAAUUAAACGAAAAUGAAAAAAUCAUAUAUUUCAUUGUUAUUUCUUAUAUUUUAUUUUUGCUAUUCGGAACUGGCAUAUACCAAUGGUAAUGAUGAUUUUGAAAAAGACAUAACGGAUGAUAGUAACAAACAUAACGCUGAAGAAAUAACUACGUAUAUAAAAGGCAGAACGAGACGAGAUCUAAGUAAUGAAGGAGCUGAUAAACCGAAUACGGAUUCGAAUACAGUGACAAAAAAAGAAGAUGAAAAUACGAUAGAAAAUGAUAUUAAAAAAUUAUAUAGGUAUAUGCGCAUAAAUGAAAAGUUUCAUUCGUAUAGGUAUGGUCUACAUAUCUUUAAUAUAAGUCGUUUAUUUCUGUCAAAUAUGAAUGACCAUUCUACAUCUGAAAAAAUGGGUUACUCUGUACUUUUUAUUAAAUAUACUAAAAUAGAUAAGGCACCCGUAAAUGUUAGUAUUGACGGAAAAUUUUUUACAUGUCAAAAUAAUAAAAAAAACAUAUGUAAUCCAACUUUUUAUAAGUCAUAUGAUCUUACUGUUGAUAGUGACGAACAAAAUGAGCAUUAUAAAACCAUACGUAUGCUAUCGGAUAUUUACAUGACACAUAUAAAUAUCGAAAACACAAAUUUCAAAUCAGGUUACGUUGCACUUCUUAUAGCGUAUGAAAAACAGAAAAAAAAAAAUGGAUAUAUAUAUAUUAAAUCAUACGAACAAAUAUUCAUAUGUGUAGGAAAAGUCAAUGGUUCAAAAUGUAUAAUGGAAUACCCAUAUGAUAUAAGUAACGAGUUUCCAAAUUUGUGUAAGAAUUUUAAAUAUAUGCAAAUGCCUAUAAUAAAUAAAAAAUCUAAACAAAACAAACAGUGUUAUUAUAAAAAUCACAAAAAUUUAGUAGAAAGUCCACAUACAGGCCUAUCUGAAUUGAUCUUAUCAACUAACCACCGUUUUGAGGAAGUUUAUAUAUAUGAUUCUAAAACACUAGAUAUGUUUAAAAAUUUGUGUCAUCAAAUAAAAAUAAAUGAUAAUAUAUGUGAAAAUGUAUUUUACUAUGCGUACAAUGCUUUGACACUAUACGAAACAAAAAAAACUUAUCAAGUUUUUGAUAAUUUUGUAAACACAUGUAUGCAAUCCUUUUCUCAUAGUGAAACAAAACAAAAUAAAACUGAUUCUGAUAAUCAUACUAUAGCAGCAAAGGACACCUUACAUAAAGAACAGACAACUCUAGAAGAUUUAAUGAUGCAACUUAAAAGAAGUAUAGAAAUUGCAAACAUAGCCGAUUGUAAAAAAGCUUUUAACAAAUUAGCAACCGUUAAUUCAAAUAUUCCUAUUAAAUCAAAAUCCAGCUCUACAAUUUCUAAUUUAAUUUAUGGUGUAUUUUUAUUGAUACUUACAAUUUAUAUGUUUUAAUAAUUGUAUUUACGUUAUAAUUUUUUAAAUACGAUAAUAGUUUGUUUCACUUGUGCAUACAUAUUAAAUUAUGUAUAUAUACUUUUGUUCUGCUCUAAAAAAAAUGAUAAUACAUAGUUUAUUAAGGCCACAGCAAAAAUUAAUAUUAUUAUUUAUCGUUUUUAUGAUUUUUUUCAUUUGUAUUUAUUCUAUCUUUU